GGCCUGGGCAGCGCCAAGCGUCCGCCGCACAAGUUGCUGGUGUCCCACAACUGUGCUGCUCUUCCUUGAAGGUCCCAGCAGGGAUGGAGUGAGUGAGGGCACACACCCCACCUGUCCCCAACCCAGAUCAGCAGCUCUCUGCUUCUCUGGCAGGCCUAUAGCCACAGACGGGAGGUCUUGGUCCGGCGUGAGAAUGGGGGCUCAUUGUUUUGAAAAUCAUAGCGUCGAGGGACUCCGUGGUGGCAUCAAAGUGGGACUCUGGCCUGGAGCAGAAAGCAGUGACCCCAGUGACCUUCUCCUGCUUGCCCACGGCGGUCGCAUCAACCAG